rnacentral:rRNA from 1 species
UACGGGGGGUGCGAGCGUUGUCCGGAAUCACUGGGCGUAAAGGGCGCGUAGGUGGCCUGAUAAGGGUGUGGUGAAAGUCCGGGGCUCAACCCCGGAUCGGCCGUGCCGACUGUUAGGCUAGAGUACUGUAGGGGCAGGCGGAAUUCCGGGUGUAGCGGUGGAAUGCGUAGAGAUCCGGAGGAAGACCGGUGGCGAAGGCGGCCUGCUGGGCAGUUACUGACACUGAGGCGCGACAGCGUGGGGAGCAACAGGG